UAGGUUCAGGAUUUAACAAGAAAUUGCGUGCAAAGAGUCCUUCCUUCAUCUCAUGGUGACUUAAAAUAUUUUACGAAAAUAGCUUGCACUGAUGGAACUCUUUUUGAUAAAGCUGAUGAUUGUUAUCACGAGCAUGAAAUAUUUAAAAAAGAAGUGGCAACAAACAAAGCUGCAAUUGUUUGUUAUGAACAUUUAUUUCAGAAGCAUGGCAUUCUGGAGCUUGAAAACUUUUUCAAAAACCUUGAAAAUACGACUACUUGGUAAUGCAAUAUGCAAAAAACUGCAUUAUUUUGAUUGAAUAAAUUUUUUGAAAGCAAA